rnacentral:rRNA from 1 species
AUUGAACGCUGGCGGCAGGCUUAACACAUGCAAGUCGAGCGGGGGAAGGUAGCUUGCUACCGGACCUAGCGGCGGACGGGUGAGUAAUGCUUAGGAAUCUGCCUAUUAGUGGGGGACAACAUCUCGAAAGGGAUGCUAAUACCGCAUACGUCCUACGGGAGAAAGCAGGGGAUCUUCGGACCUUGCGCUAAUAGAUGAGCCUAAGUCGGAUUAGCUAGUUGGUGGGGUAAAGGCCUACCAAGGCGACGAUCUGUAGCGGGUCUGAGAGGAUGAUCCGCCACACUGGGACUGAGACACGGCCCAGACUCCUACGGGAGGCAGCAGUGGGGAAUAUUGGACAAUGGGGGGAACCCUGAUCCAGCCAUGCCGCGUGUGUGAAGAAGGCCUUAUGGUUGUAAAGCACUUUAAGCGAGGAGGAGGCUACUUUAGUUAAUACCUAGAGAUAGUGGACGUU